UUUUAAGUCCAAUCUGCCCAAUGAAAAUUUAAAUGGCUGCAGUAUAAAUAACUGUACUAAGGUAGCAUAAUAAUUUGUUUUCUAAUUAAAAACUAGAAUGAAAGAUUUAAUGAAAUAUAUACUUUAUUAAAAUUAUAAAUUAAAUUUUUUAUUUAAGUAAAAAAACUUAAAUAAAAUUUAAAGACAACAAGACCCUAUAAAAUUUUAUUUAAAUUUUAAUUUUAUACAAAUUAAGAUUUAAAUUUAAUUGGGGUAAUUAAAAAAUUAAUAGAACUUUUUUAAUUUAACCAGUAAUAUCUGUAUAAAAUUUCUUAAAAUUUAAAAUAAUAAAAUUAAUUACUUUAGGGAUAACAGCAUAA
rnacentral:rRNA from 1 species